GAAGUUAUAGUUAAUUAUAACAUUUAAUUUGCAAUUAAAAGGUCCAAUUAGGUUUCUUUA
rnacentral:tRNA from 1 species